GCUAAACAAGGCGAGCGCCGGGAGCGGCGCGUUGGCCCUGCAGCACGCAGCGGGGACACCAGCACCUUCCCAGCAGGGCCACAGCUGUAUUUACAGGAAUGCUGGAGAGAGAAACCAACGCUGCUUUCCUUCGUGUCUGGGAUUUCACAGAAAGCAGCAAACAGGGGAGCCGGACGCCAGAGCUGUGCUCUCCCUUUCACCUGGAGCAGCCGCCCCAUUCCCAAGAGAGAACACUCUGGGUAAGAAGUCGCCCCUGGCCCCGCGCAGAGCGUGCUCCUGUUAGGACUUGCCCUCUGCACGCUUGGUGGCGUGACUUUCGCUUAACGAGACUCAGCAAUCACCCAGCUGGAUUCCGGCGCCAGCCUCACCUGGAAGCGCGCUCUGCCGCUCCAGCGCAGCAACAGAGCUCUGGCUUCGUGGCUAAAUCGACUGCAGAAGGACCAUUUGGGAACCUGGAGCACCUUUAUUCUGCCAGGGUUAAAAGCAAAUGAAUGUACACUUGCACUGGAGAACUCAUCUCCGGACGAUGCCAGAACUACACGUGGUUUCAGAACAGUUAAGACAGUCACAGAGGCAAGCCCACUGAGGUUGUCCCAUGUCAAGUUGAGGCCACCCACCUCCAGCACUGGGAAGUAAGGGGGGAAAAAAUAAUGCGUGAAGGGUACAUGGAAGGAACGAACAUUCACAGUCGCAGGUGAAGAGCUCAGGUUAGCAGUACGGGAAUGACAGAGUGAGAUACAUCCUUUCACAGAUGGCAAACAAAUGGAAAUGCAUUUGGAUUUGCAAUUAAUCUCUGCAACUUUCCAUCAAAUUACCGUAACGUUCAUGUAUGCUUCCAGACAUGUACACCCACUGCUGCGAGGCCGUGAUUAACUUCAGCACAGACAUUGGCUCUUACAGAUUCCUGGGUCAAGUCAGAAAGGCCUUGUGAACAAUCUCAUCCUGUCCAAGAAAAUACUAGGCCACAUGAUUAAUUCUCAGCAGCCUCAGUGGGAUUCAUGACAGUGCUUACUUUGCUGAACAGGGAAAGGAUUAUUCAUAUUUAAUCACACGCAGAUUGCAAUCCAUCUCAGCUUGACCUCCAAGAAGCCGCUAACAACACUUGUCAGCAGAAAGCCUGAGGACAAGAGCAUCUAAGGAAGAUAAGCAACCCCUGAAAUACCAGAGGCUGCAAAAUGUGCACUGGAAAUCCCAUACGUGACUUUCAUGUAAGUAAGGACGCGACUGGACUUGCGUGGUCAAGAGCAUCUCCUAAGAAAUGGGUGGUCAGAGCAUGAAAGAGCAGCUACUGUUAUGGACAGGAUAUCAAGCCCACUCUCUUGCUGCUUUCACUUUGGGAAUUUUCAUGGAAACAACCCUCUGACAACCUGAAACCAUUUCCGCUGCUGGAGGCUGGUGCUUCUUUCUGCCACCUUAGACAGAUACAAGAAUUGUUAAAUACAAAAGCAAUUUCUAUGAUUUAUUUUUUAAACACCGACUGCAGACGGAGAUUUCUGGAUCCUAGGAAGCACAUAAGCAGUGACCCCACUUGAUCAGUUCCACCUUAUCCCUCCCUUGCCCCACCUCAAAAUGAUUUUUUUUAAGUUGGCACAGCUUGAGGCACCCAGCAGCGCACAAUAGUUUCAGAGACCAUAAGGGGUCAACAUGGGGCAGGUAACUUCCUAUUGUGUGCCCUUGAAUCAGAGAAUCUCUUCAUUUCACUGAACAGCUGUAUUACCUGAACUGUUACAGCUCAUCAACUGCUACAAACCUUCCCACGCGUUAUUAAUCCGCAUCACUUGGGGUCUUAUGGUAAAAUAAGAAAGCUCAUUUCCUCUUGGGUUCCCUGACAAGAACAGAUGAUUCCUUUAGGCCUAACAGAUCCUGCACAUAACGGGCUUCAGGAAGGGGUCGCACUGAAGAUUUGAGUAAGCAUUUCCCCAGCUUUCAAGUGUGUGCAGCAGGAGCUACCGUGACUAUAAGAAAGAUGACGCUCUUCCAAAUCAACCUGCAUGAUUCCCACUUGAGGACAGAUGCAAAAAGAGCUCCUGCUGAUACUCAAGAUUAUUCACCGAGAUUACCAAGACUGAGCCUCUCAGGAGCCCGGCAGAAGUCCCUGUUAAAUUAACAUUUGAGUGGGUCUGACUCAUCCCAGAAGUCAUUGAAAUCCUCGUACUGCACACAGCAUUUACAGGUUAUCAUUCUGCUACUAGACAGUGGUCACGCUUCCCUCACAGCGUGAUACACUGCUGAAAGAAACUCCGCCAGCUGACAAACCCUGUUCGCAGUUUACCCUAAAUGAGACCAUUUCCCCACCCUCUCACUGAAAACAAAAAUCUUCCAAAAGGAAGGCAAUUCAAAGAUUUACUAACCGCCCCUUCCCACCCACAUCCACUCCUAGCUCCCCAGCUGGAUAACCAGCACUUUGGGAAUUUGUGCUCUGCAUAAUAUUGGAGACCUCAUCACUGUGGAAAAGAACAUGCCAGAUAACUUUGUCAGUCCUUCCUUUCACAGCCACUAGGGGAAAAAGGAGAAAUACAGAUUUUUUAGAUGAAGAUAUUUUAAAGUCUUCAUUAAAACCACAGCAGCCAGAAAAAAAAAAAUUCCCGAGUCAUUACAUUCAGAAGAACGCAUGACUGAACAAACUCAGAAUUUGCCUCAGAAUUUUUAAAUUCUGACACAUAAAAAAGCAAGGUAGGGCUUACCCUUCAAUGGAUGUAUUUCAAAUUUUUACCAUCUUAACACUUAAAAGCUGGCAACAUUACAGUCUAUUUCAGCUUGGAAGAAAACGGAUGGAUUUUGCUACCUUCCUGAAAGAUCUCAAAGGCUCCAGACCAAAACACAUACCUAUGCUAACAAUUUUGCAACAUUUUAUUAGUAAAACAUGAGUCAGGAUCUGUCAUUAUGUUUGGAAAGACGCCCACAGAAGACGCACAGUAUCGAAAACCAAGAAAGCUACACUAGAAACAAACGCUCUGAAGGCUGAAUGCUUGCUGAAGUGAAGACGCAGCAGAAGACAGAGACUCCAGAUCCUUAAGGUGCACCUGCAGGUUGCUAUAGCAAGUGUUAAUUCACUUGGCAAAACACAGCCUAAUUACACACCAGUGUCACAAAGCACUCUGGUGUCGUGUGCUCCAGCCUUAUGCUCCGUGACAUUUUAUCACAAAUUCAAGAUGCCCCACAUUUUACUCCAUGGGAACAAAUGAGACUGAUGCAGUCUUGCGGUACUCUGUAAAGCAAAAGAAAUGAAACACAGUCAGCUUGGAAACCAGUGACAAGCCAAACCAUUUACAGCAGAACAGGAAGAACCCAGAAAGACUGGAAGAAGUUCUACAGGUGAGAAAUACGCCCUGUCACACCUUCUAACUGCUUGUUAUGGGAAGCUGGUACCUGCAGUGCUACCUGUUCCAAGAUUUGCAAGAUUUCUAGCCUCUUUUUUUUUUUUCAGUACAGAUUGGAUCCAUUGUCAAGCUGGUUUAAUCACACUAAGAGUUUCUCAGUGGCCAAGUUCUAUCCUGCCAAUUAAAAUGUUACACAUUGAAGCAUAAACAUUAACUAUACAGCAGUUGAACAGUCAGCGUUGCCGCGUAUAUCACAUGUGCCCAAGUGCAAAAGUUAUCCACGCUCAUCUAUGUGGGCACCAGACAAGAAAGGCUUUGUCUGUCAGCUUUGGAGUUCAAAAAACAGGAGAAAUCUUUUAUGCCUCUGAGUAACUGCUGCUGGUUUUGCUAGGGAAAAGAAGCUGUUCCUUUUUUCACGCAGCCUUAUAAAGGGAUCCAUGUCAUCCAGUAAGUGCCAGCUCUCAGCACUGCAGUUGCUAAAAAAAGAAGCUAUAAAAAUCAAAAUUAAGUUUUGUACCUCACAGUUACUACUGUGUUUCCUGUAUCAUCCCCAUAAUUUGUACUCACUUGAAUAGGCUUCAUCUGCCUAUAAUUUUUAUUUUUUAAGGAGCAAAAUAGCUUAGGAGCAUUUUCUUCUAGUAUGCUACCAUUUAAUUAGGCCUAAAAAGCAGGGCUUGGGCGGGGGGUGAAGAGAAAAAGAAGUCUUGUAAAACACCACGUUACGUAGCCAAUAAGGACAGAACUUACCCCAGCGAGGCACUCCUCCCGAGUUCAUGGGGCUGGCUCAUCUGGCCCAACAGAGCAGACAGCAGCCUCCACCAGAGCUCUGCUUCUAGCAGCAGCUUUGUUAGACAUUCUUCCUCCCACCUCCUUUCAUGUGGUGUUUGUACCAAAAGAAACCAGUCACCUCUCAAGAUGCAAGGGAGCAAAGGAUAGCGUAAGGAGCUCAAGUGCUGGCACACAGUGAGCAGCUGAAUGCAGGUCAGAAUUUUACGUCAAGAGCAGCACAUGUCUUUGCAGUCGUUUGUGGAGAGACCAGUUUCUGCCCAGCUCACGAGACUUUAAAGCAGCUGCACGGCAAUGCUUGUGAAUUGCUUGUCAUCUCUAAUACCGGAUCUGUAGCUGCCCAAAGUUUGCCAGAUCGGGGAAAAUCCCCCUAAGGUCUGACAAACAGCAAAAGCUGUUACAGAAGGAAGCCCAUACUGUCUGUCACAGGAAAAGCACGAGUUGGCAAAAGCCUGUAUGUAGGUCCAAGCAAGUUACUAUUUCACAGUAUCAUAAGCCCAGAAGGUAGCUCGCGCGCUCUGCGGCGUGUUCUGCACGAGCAGAUCAUUUAACUUGACAGCACUAGCCCCGUCUCACUGAAGUGGUGGGAAUUAGUGUAGUAGUUUUAAAGGUUUUCCGCAAAAUAAUCUUACCCAAGUCUUCAAAAAGUUGUAUGGGCACUAGAACUUCAUAAACUGUAAUAAGUCCUCUACUUAACCCACUAAAAGAGGGGUUAUUUGCUGCUGAGAAUGACUUAAGUGUUCAAGAAACAGUGAAGUAUGCAGGAGUUUGUUCCACAUUUUAGGUACAGCUGCACUGUAAUGGCAGGGAAUAUGUGUUUCUAGGUGCAUUUUACAAUGCAAGAUCACAAAAUUUAUAAAAGCCAUUACACUUAGGAAGAGCUUAAGAUACCAGAAGAGCAACUAAAGCAAGACUAUUCGUCAGAGCUGGCAGCUUUGCUUUCCUUGACAACUCAGUCAUUCCUGUAAUUAGAUUUCUAGACUGCAGCUAUUAAGGAUCCCCAAGCUAACUCAAUUCUCUACAGGUCAUGAGCUGUUCUAAUAUUUAAUCUAGCAGUUUACUGUAUUCCACCAUCAGCUUUUAAUUGUUGCUGUAAAGUCACAGUAAAUUUUCAAGCUGAGAAGAAGGAAACUCCUACAGUCAAUCUAACCCUAGAGCUGGUCUUCAGUUCCAGCUGCCUCACCCAAACGCCUUUUGACUCGUAAGGAACAAGUUAUAAUACACGAGUCUGGAAAAUAGCGUGCUACCUGGCUAAUUCCUGCUAGGAGUAAGUCUGGAGAGAGUGCAGAUUGGCUUGAACUCAUUAGCUGCUCAGGAGGAGCUGCUGAGCACUGAUCAGUACAAAGCUGAGGUCAGUAUGUUACGUGGGCGCUUGGAGCGCCCCGGCCUGUAUCGGGAAGGCGGACACUGCAUCUCUCUGCCAUUGCUCUCACAGUGCAGUGACCAAGGGAGACAACGUACUAGUUAGAAUUGUGCCAAAGCAGUCUGCUGUUACUGAUUUCACAACCCUGGCAGUCUCUGCUGGUUGGCAUUUGAAGAUAUUUUGCCCCAUUAAAGCAGAAUUUAGUAUGAAAAGGUGUGGCUUACCGCUACUGCUGCUAUAGUACUGUAUUUUAGUGGGGAAGACACGACCUGCAGCCUCCCUCUCAGCACAGGACCGAAGCUUUUCCAGUCCUGUGAAUGAAGUCACGUAAGCAUGUGACUGCCUCCUGCAGCGUGACCUCCACACGUGACAGUGUGCUGAUGUGUCCAGUGAAGGGACUGCAACUCCCUUUUAAGUUAACUGCUAAGCCAUCUAUGCUAGGUGCUUUGGCACGAGUUUCCCUUUUUCCUGCCUGGCAUCCUUAGUUGUCAGAUUAGGAAACCUGAUGCUAUUAGUGGUAGCAUAUCACUACUAUCCAGUCCCCACCCCCAAGAUAUUAAGACUAGAACCACACAGUGGAUACUGCAGUUUUACAUUUAUAGUUGGACUUUUAUAAUAUUCAAGAUUAGCACAAGAUUCAUAACCAUAAAUUAUACAUUGUUAUCUAAGUACAUAAAACGUUAAUGAUACAUGUAUUUGAAGAGUGGCACAAAGUAAUAAUACAUCCCUGUUGGCAUUCCCAAAGAAAGAGGUGGGUGAUGGACAAGCUGUUGAUACUGCUGCAGCAUAGCAGAACUGAGUCACUGCACCCCGUUAAUGCCGGUGGUGCCGACUCUGCCCACCAGACAGGGUCGGAACAUGGUGUGGCAGAAAGCCAAUGCCAGAAUCAGUUAAAGGUGCAAAUAAAGUCAGGAUUAUGGCCCUCCCUACUGCCUCAAAAUUCUAGCAGCGUGCCCCCCAUCCCAACCCUGACACUGUGCUCUUGCAUCUCUAGUACUUCGGCAGCCCAUGCACACUCCUAUGUUCACUUGCCACACAUAGCUGAGGUUUCCUUUAGUACCAUUUAACAUCAACAAGUAACAUGCUCUCUUCUUGUUAAACAAAAAGGAUCUGGGAAGUGUUUGCUCUCUGGCAUGAGAAGAUUUAUUUUCUUCAAGUCUCAGAUCUACUCCAGAAAAUAUAGAACAGACUCCAACAGCAUUGAACCCCAACAGCAUUAUUGUCCAGAAAAGGAAACUUUCCCAAUAUUCCUCUAAACAUUCAGAGCACAAAUAUUAGAAAGCCCAUUUUCUUUUGCACGUGAGACUGCAAAUGAAACAGGGUAGUCAGAUGUACACAAGUUUUCAACAAUUCAUUAUUAACGAGAUGCUUCACUGAAUUGUUAACAACCCUGCUACUUCAGUAGCUUCAGCUAAAGCUUUAACAACUUGGUGCCAGGCAAUUUCCCAGCUGCCUUCAAUGGGCUUUGCAAAAGAAAGAAAAAUAUGCUCUCUUCCCCCUGGCCUCAAGCAGUUAUUGCUAUAUGAGUUAGUGAAAUAGUGCCUUAACUUCAGACAAGAGUCUCACAAUGUCAUUAACAAAAGCUGCCUUUCAGAGGUUGAAAUGUAACCGGACAAUAAUCAAUAAAUAACAGUAAUAGGCAUCCCGUUGAAAUCUCCUCACUGAGCCGGGCAGCAAGUGUGUUCAGCCAACAGAAGGUCAUCUGUGCCUUUAGGACCAUUGUACACUUCUUGGAGAAGUUAAAAAGGGACGGGAAGGAAGAGAACAGAGACAGUGAAGGUCUGUCAGAGAGCUAGUUACAUAUUAAAACCAUAAACAGGCGGCUGGGUGAAUCCUGGUGUUGUGUAUCCAUAUGGGAAGUUUGCCUGGGGUGGUACUGCGCUGGGGCCCGCUGUUAACAUCAACUGCUGGCCUAUAAAAGCAUGAGAGAAAAAACAAAGUUAGUUUAAGAACCCAAGCUUCCCUAAUGCUAGCUGUGCUAUGGGAUUAUGCACAGGAUUAUGAGGCUUUAGGUACAAAAAAAAAAAAGCCAGCCACUGUGCAAGCAUACACUAGCAAGUCACACCGUUACUCAGCAUGCACCAGAGUGGGUACCUAGCCCAUCUGCUCUUGCCACCAGGAAACUACAAAAGCGAGGCAGGGCUCACAGGGAAGAUGAGCCUCAGCUGUCCUUGAGGGCAUGAUAAACCUGGCAUGUUUUGAAAAGAUCAUACUGAAAGCUAAACAAACUGAUACUAUUUAACCCAUGCAUGGUCAGAACCAAGAAGUACAGCAAUGAAAGCAAAUAGUCUGUUAGGUCUCACAGUCUGGAGAGUACUGCAAAAGGCCUGAACAUACCUUAACAGAUUUGUCUUCAUCACUAGGAGCACACACGCCUCAUGCAUAUGUUAAAUUCAGGUUAACAUUUACAUCAGACAGUGAACUAGUCACAUCCUUCCCUUACCAGCCACUUCUAGGUGCUUGUUAGCAGAAUGCCUCUUCAGAAGGGCUUCUAAAAUAGCAGCGCACUUGAGGACAGCCAUGGUUUUUUGGCUGCACGUGUCUUAAAAUGGGUGAGCUAGAAAGCCAGUCUGCCUCUCUACUUGGAAGAGCAGAAGGCAGAUGACAGACAUAUUCCUCUUAGACAGGAAUAACAGGAGGAAUUUGCGUGCUCUGUAAGUUAUUCCUGGGGUUGUGCAAACCUUGGUAUUCCCUGUCCUGUUACCAUACUGAAAGACUCUUCCUAAGCUAGAGUUCUAAGCCAUGUAAGAGGAGCAAUGCUUUAGCUGAAGAGUAGAAGUACUGUAAGAGUGAGAUGUCACUUCAACAGCUUACGCAGUUGUUCUAGCAGAGACAACCAUUGUACUACCUAGUUGAAACCAGUUUACUUCGACUGGAGGUAGUCAUUUACGUUACCUCCACACAGAGAGACCAGAGUGAUAAUAGGUAAUCAAUUAAAACAGAGUCUUUCACCUACCAAAUACUAUUGGAGUGGGUUCAGUUACUUGUUCCUCUUCUUUUCUUAGGCUUUCAGAAGCAUCAAGUUUAUCCACCUACAUUGAAGUGAACAGGAGAUGUGUGAAGGCCUCAUCUAGGAAUUGCACCAUCGUGUGAAGCUUUUCAUGCCUGGUACCUUAGCUAUCAAGUGUUCCUUUUAUUAGCACAGAAGUCUGUGUGUUCCCAGCAAGCUAUGUUGUAAACCUGCCCUCCCAAUUGCUUUAGGUCUAUUGCAAUACAUGACGGCUUUCAAAUGCAGCUGUCAUCAUUACCUUCAAGUGAAGCACUUUUUGGGGCCCUAUUCUAGCCACUGUUCACUCUAUGACCCAGAAAACAAGCCCAUCAGAUUACAGUUCCAAGCAUCAUCUCAAACGGGCCUAACCUACACUUAUUCGUUAACCUCCAAUCCCUCUGCCCUUCAAUGAGAGGACCCAGAUAUUUGCAAAUAUUCCAGACCCGUGAAGUCUGACCUUAUCUAGAGACAACAGCCUAACCUGGGCUGCAGAGCACUGCUUUAACUGUGGUAGUAUUCACAUAAACUCCUUUUAGAGGAAACUCUAGAACCAUCAUGGAAACUGGUCUAAUUGUAUCAGCCUUAUACAGAUCCCAGUGUUGUGCCAAAUAAAGCUCUGUUCAUGCUAGA